rnacentral:rRNA from 1 species
UUGAACGCUGGCGGCAUGCCUUACACAUGCAAGUCGAACGGCAGCGCGGGGGUAACCCUGGCGGCGAGUGGCGAACGGGUGAGUAACAUAUCGGAACGUGCCUUGGAGUGGGGGAUAACUAGUCGAAAGACUAGCUAAUACCGCAUACGACCUACGGGUGAAAGUGGGGGAUCGCAAGACCUCAUGCUCCUAGAGCGGCCGAUAUCUGAUUAGCUAGUUGGUGGGGUAAAGGCCUACCAAGGCGACGAUCAGUAGCUGGUCUGAGAGGACGACCAGCCACACUGGGACUGAGACACGGCCCAGACUCCUACGGGAGGCAGCAGUGGGGAAUUUUGGACAAUGGGGGCAACCCUGAUCCAGCAAUGCCGCGUGUGUGAAGAAGGCCUUCGGGUUGUAAAGCACUUUUGUCCGGAAAGAAAUCGCCCUGGCUAAUAUCCGGGGUGGAUGACGGUACUGGAAGAAUAAGCACCGGCUAACUACGU